rnacentral:rRNA from 1 species
GAGUUUGAUCUUGGCUCAGAUUGAACGCUGGCGGCAGGCCUAACACAUGCAAGUCGAGCGGAUGACGGGAGCUUGCUCCUUGAUUCAGCGGCGGACGGGUGAGUAAUGCCUAGGAAUCUGCCUAGUAGUGGGGGACAACGUUUCGAAAGGAACGCUAAUACCGCAUACGUCCUACGGGAGAAAGCAGGGGACCUUCGGGCCUUGCGCUAUCAGAUGAGCCUAGGUCGGAUUAGCUAGUUGGUGGGGUAAUGGCUCACCAAGGCGACGAUCCGUAACUGGUCUAAGAGGAUGAUCAGUCACACUGGAACUGAGACACGGUCCAGACUCCUACGGGAGGCAGCAGUGGGGAAUAUUGGACAAUGGGCGAAAGCCUGAUCCAGCCAUGCCGCGUGUGUGAAGAAGGUCUUCGGAUUGUAAAGCACUUUAAGUUGGGAGGAAAGGGCAGUAAGUUAAUACCUUGCUGUUUUGACGUUACCGACAGAAUAAGCACCGGCUAACUCUGUGCCAGCCGCCG